GAUGAACGCUAGCUACAGGCUUAACACAUGCAAGUCGUGGGGCAUCAUGAUGUAGUAAUACAUUGAUGGCGACCGGCGCACGGGUGAGUAACGCGUAUCCAACCUACCCUCCACUCAAGUAUAGGCUUCCGAAAGGGAGAUUAAUCCUUGAUAUCGUCAUUCUCUCUCCUGUUAGAAUGAUAAAAGGACAUCGUUUCGGUAGAGGAUGGGGAUGCGUUCCAUUAGGUAGUAGGUGGUUUAACAGGCCACCUAGCCGAUGAUGGAUAGGGGUUCUGAGAGGAAUAUCCCCCACACUGGUACUGAGAUACGGACCAGACUCCUACGGGAGGCAGCAGUGAGGAAUAUUGGUCAAUGGGCGCAAGCCUGAACCAGCCAUGUAGCGUGAAGGAUGACGGUUUUUUUGAUUGUAAACUUCUUUUCUGUGCGAUUAAAGUGUGGCAUUUAUGCCAUAUGGCAGUAUCUCAGGAAUAA
rnacentral:rRNA from 1 species